rnacentral:tRNA from 2 species
GCACCCGUAGCUCAAUUGGAUAGAGCGUCGGUCUUCGGAACCGAAGGUUGUAGGUUCGAGCCCUACCGGGUGCA